CUCUCUCUCUCUCUCUCUCUCUCUCUGUGUGUGUGUGUGUGUGAACUUGUGUGUCUCGGUGUUUAAUUCCUUUGUUUUGGAUCACUUGGAAGCCUUCCAUUUCAAAGGAAGUGCAAUGGCUCUCUCCCCAAGUUCCGAGACAUGAGGGAUUUAGAGGGCAACAAUGUAAUAAAGGACGUUAGUUUUAAAGAUCUUAUUAGACACACAACUGAAGACACCCCCUAGACCCUCUUCAGUAUUACCCGUGCCAUUCAUAAAUUUCAGAAGCCUCGAAAUCUGUCUUCUGCAAUUUUAAAAGGAGAUGGGUACUAGAUUUCCCCAUCCCUUUAAUGGUCUGGGGUAGCUUUUUUUCAUUUUUAAUAUGUAGGGCCUCCCUGCCUUUGCCGCUUAGCGAUCUUGCUCAAGAGAGCCUUGUGCACUGACUGUUCUAAGAAUGACUCUGGUGAGAAGGAAGAGAAGCGCACUCGAAUGAAGACAGCUGUUACUGGAAAGAGUUAAGUUCAUUCAUUCAAAAGGGCCCUUUCGUAAGUCCUAGAGGAAUUUGCCAGAGGCGGUAGGAUCUUGAAGGCUUUCUGGGGGUGGGGACUUUUAAAGACAAUGGGUUGUCAAGUGUUAUGCAAAUAACGAAGGCCAAGCCGAGGCCUUGUCCCGCAGGCCAGCCAACUUAUUAGCUAGAGAACUGUUCCGCUGGCCUUACAGUUCAUUGUUUCCAUCUUUGGGAAGCGGCGGGAGGGUAGGGGGUGAGGGUGGAGAAGGCGCAGAACGGGGUAGAAGGAGGUGAUGGAGAAACAGAAUGGAGGGGAGGGCUCCUGGCUUCUGUUGUGGCGUCUUUUCUAUUUGACUUCAUGGUUGUAAGUAUUUCCAGAUGGUGAAUCAGACACCAGACGUAACAAUAUUUCCAUAUUUGGGUAUAGCAGUAGCCUGCGUUUUUAACAUUUUUCUGCCUCUGUUAUCCAACCACAAGGCAUUCUUGACAGCUUCAAAUGUUGUUAAAUAUAGACUUAACUUCUGUUCCCAGAGCAGGAAAUUCUUUGGAAUUCCUUGUUUUUCACGCAAUCUGUCCAUCAUGAUUUAAAAUAAAGUUACAGUGGAUGAUCCAACUGGCCUGGAUAUACUGUGUUCCUUUGCUGCGGGGGAUGGGGUGACAGUGGAGAGGUCCAGUAUUCUAUACAGCAUUCAGACACACCAUUCCGUAGAUGCCUUUAAAAAUCAGAUUAAAGUUUUCUAACGAGGAUGUGUGGGGUUUUGUUUCUGGACUCCAACUGGGCAAUCUCAGAAGAAGGGGAUUGUCCCAGAGGAGACAGAGGGAGAACAUUAGCAUCAGCUGUCCAUUUAAAGCAGCGGGUGUGUGGUGAGAAGAGGAGGGAGUUGGAGUCGGCAAGGCCGGGAGGUGCAGGAGGAGGAAAGGCUGCUGGAACCCAUGUGCACAGCCUUUGCAGACUGCGUGCACUGCCUAGCCCGCUGGUAACCAGGAGGAACAGCGGCUGCUUGAGUCCCUGCCUAGGAUGGUCCAGAAACUCCAGACGUCCUGUCGCCUUCUCACCUCCUCUGCUGAGAGCUACAGAUCCUUCGUUGACAGACAGGGAGGGAAAUGUGCAAAUGGUGUGGAGAAGACAAUUCCACUACAGGAAUACAUUAACACGAUGGCUUCCCCCUCCAAAUUUUUUGGUUGCAAUUCCAUCUGUACUGAAAGCCAGUUCAAGCAGCCUUGGCCCAGACUUUUCCAAAAGAAAAUCGGAUCUCAGUUUCAAAACAAAAACCAAAGAGCUGGGUUUUUUGUUUUUUUUUCCCAGCCAGGUCUUCCAUAGUUAAAUUCAGGAUUAAGACCCACGGGGUUGUGGUUGGCCGGUGGGGCUCCCAGUUGCAGCGUGUCUCUCUGGUUCCUCGCCAGCCACGGCACUUGGCUGUGCAGGUAGCAGCGGGCACUGGGAGUGCCUCUCCAGCCUGCAUUCCUUGGCCAUGAAUUUUGAAGCCCUGUUUAUCUGAUGAAGACCUCUGGCGAGUGGAUUGCUCAUGACAGUGUCACACAGAUCCUAAUGAGUGACAUGAAAAGACACUGAAUAUUUUUUCCUCUUGGAAUGCCAACCAAUCCGGAAUUCCCCAGCUCCUCCAUUCGAGCUGAUGCCACAAAGGCCUGGUGCUGAGAACCAAUGAGACCUUCCUUAUGUCUACCAAAGCCCGGCAGGACACGUACAAGUCUCCUCUGUGAGCCUGUCACUGCAGCUUCUUCUGGAGAUUUUUUUAAAAAAUUACAUCUGCUCCUUCAGUGAGCCUUACUCUGCAUUAAUGAGUCAUUUCCACAUGCAGUCCCUGGGAGUCCCCUAGAAAUUAAUUCCAGGACUUCCUUCCCACCCGAGAGUAUAAGAUUUGACAUUUCUUAAGUGCCUGGUGUGAGUUGGUGCAGAUGUGCAAGUAACCCUCCACCUUCCUGUACAGCUUCCACUGACUUUCACGACUGUUACACCCAAUAGGAUGCAAUAUUACACACAUGUUUUUAUUAUGUGCUCUCUGUAGAACAUUAGCAACAAAAACCUCUGUACAGUUCCAAAGUUUCCCUUAAAUAAUAAUUAUGUGCACACGGCAUGCUUGUGGGUGCACACACCACAGCAUAAGUGUGGAGGUAAGAGGACAAUUACGUGGUGUUGAGUCUCUCCUCUCCCUUUUGUGUGGGUUCUGGGGCUUGAACUCAGACUACCAGGCUUGCUUGGUGAGCCAUCUUCUAACCUUCCUCUCUAAAAAAUAAAAAGAGAUUUACUUUUA
rnacentral:sRNA from 1 species